rnacentral:rRNA from 1 species
GGUUGACCUCGGAUCAGGUAGGAAGACCCGCUGAACUUAAGCAUAUCAAUAAGCGGAGGAAAAGAAACCAACAGGGAUUGCCCUAGUAACGGCGAGUGAAGCGGCAACAGCUCAAUUUGAAAUCUGGCUUCGGCCCGAGUUGUAAUUUGUAGAGGAUGCUUUGGGCGCGGCUCUAACUGAGUUCCCUGGAACGGGACGCCACAGAGGGUGAGAGCCCCGUAUAGUUAGAUGCCUAGCCUAUGUAAAGCUCCUUCGACGAGUCGAGUAGUUUGGGAAUGCUGCUCUAAAUGGGAGGUAAAUUUCUUCUAAAGCUAAAUAUUGGCCAGAGACCGAUAGCGCACAAGUAGAGUGAUCGAAAGAUGAAAAGCACUUUGAAAAGAGGGUUAAAUAGCACGUGAAAUUGUUGAAAGGGAAGCGCUUGUGACCAGACUUGCGCCGGGCAGAUCAUCCGGUGUUCUCACCGGUGCACUCUGCCCGGCUCAGGCCAGCAUCGGUUCUCGUGGGGGGAUAAAGGUCCCGGGAACGUAGCUCCUCCGGGAGUGUUAUAGCCCGGGGCGUAAUGCCCUCGUGGGGACCGAGGUUCGCGCAUCUGCAAGGAUGCUGGCGUAAUGGUCAUCAGCGACCCGUCUUGAAACACGGACCAAGGAGUCAAGGUUUUGCGCGAGUGUUUGGGUGUAAAACCCGCACGCGUAAUGAAAGUGAACGUAGGUGAGAGCUUCGGCGCAUCAUCGACCGAUCCUGAUGUAUUCGGAUGGAUUUGAGUAAGAGCGUUAAGCCUUGGACCCGAAAGAUGGUGAACUAUGCUUGGAUAGGGUGAAGCCAGAGGAAACUCUGGUGGAGGCUCGCAGCGGUUCUGACGUGCAAAUCGAUCGUCAAAUCUGAUGCAUGGGGGUGAAAGUGCUAAUCGUAG